GACGAACGCUGGCGGCGUGCUUAACACAUGCAAGUCGAACGGAAAGGCCCUGCUUUUGUGGGGUGCUCGAGUGGCGAACGGGUGAGUAACACGUGAGUAACCUGCCCUUGACUUUGGGAUAACUUCAGGAAACUGGGGCUAAUACCGGAUAGGAGCUCCUGCUGCAUGGUGGGGGUUGGAAAGUUUCGGCGGUUGGGGAUGGACUCGCGGCUUAUCAGCUUGUUAGUGGGGUAGUGGCUUACCAAGGCUUUGACGGGUAGCCGGCCUGAGAGGGUGACCGGCCACAUUGGGACUGAGAUACGGCCCAGACUCCUACGGGAGGCAGCAGUGGGGAAUAUUGCACAAUGGGCGGAAGCCUGAUGCAGCAACGCCGCGUGCGGGAUGACGGCCUUCGGGUUGUAACCCGCUUUCGCCUGUGACGAAGCGUGAGUGACGGUAAUGGGUAAAGAAGCACCGGCUAACUACGUG
rnacentral:rRNA from 1 species